GAGCAGAGUAAUUUUGUCCAUAAUAGUGAAAAAAAAGCUCCACUCUAGAACCACAUGAUGGCAGUAUCUGCCUUGGCUUGCAUGUGAGACACAAACCAAGAUGGUUGCAUGUAGGAGUGCAGCCUCCAUCCCCUCAACUCACCCCGUGCUGCCUUCACUGUCGCCCUCCGUGCUGUACAAAGUGGCCACAAUAAAUAUGUUAAUGCAGACGGAAGUGAGUAACAGGAAGGGGGCUCUCAUCGCCAUCAAAUAUGCAUCAUGUGGACGGACUAGCGGGACAUCUCGGCUAUAAGAGAUCAGAUGAUUCAGCUGCAGCAGCAUCUCAGGGUCAGGAGUCGUUCACUUGAAGCGGCUUGUUUUUGUAACCCACGCAACGGCCAUGAGGGAGCAGAGGGAGAGCAGACGGACUAGAACAUUUUACUCAACCCGCUUCACGCCUAACUGCAGGCUACCAAGGCUCAGUGUUGAGAAAACUCAAGGAAUUUGUGC